rnacentral:rRNA from 1 species
UUCCGGUUGAUCCUGCCGGAAAUUGGAUUCAACGCCGGGUUUCCGGUUGAUCCUGCCGGAGGUCAUUGCUAGUGGAGUCCGAUUUAGCCAUGCUAGUUGCACGAGUUCAGACUCGUAGCAGAUAGCUCAGUAACACGUGGCCAAACUACCCUACAGAGCGCGAUAACCUCGGGAAACUGAGGCUAAUAGCGCAUACGGCUCUCACGCUGGAACUGCGGAGAGCUCGAAACGCCCCGGCGCUGUAGGAUGUGGCUGCGGCCGAUUAGGUAGACGGUGGGGUAACGGCCCACCGUGCCAGUAGUCGGUACGGGUUGUGAGAGCAAGAGCCCGGAGACGGUAUCUGAGACAAGAUACCGGGCCCUACGGGGCGCAGCAGGCGCGAAACCUUUACACUGCACGCCAGUGCGAUAAGGGGACUCCAGGUGCGAGGGCAUAUAGUCCUCGCUUUUGUACACCGUAAGGUGGUGUACGAAUAAGUGCUGGGCAAGACCGGUGCCAGCCGCCGCGGUAAUACCGGCAGCACGAGUGAUGACCGCUAUUAUUGGGCCUAAAGCGUCCGUAGCUGGCCAGGCAAGUCCGUCGGGAAAUCUCCCCGCCCAACGGGGAGGCGUCCGGUGGAAACUGCUUGGCUUGGGACCGGAAGAUCCAGAGGGUACGUCCGGGGUAGGAGUGAAAUCCCGUAAUCCUGGACGGACCACCGGUGGCGAAAGCGCUCUGGAAAGACGGAUCCGACGGUGAGGGACGAAAGCUCGGGUCACGAACCGGAUUAGAUACCCGGGUAGUCCGAGCUGUAAACGAUGUCUGCUAGGUGUGCCACAGGCUACGAGCCUGUGGUGUGCCGCAGGGAAGCCGUGAAGCAGACCGCCUGGGAAGUACGUCCGCAAGGAUGAAACUUAAAGGAAUUGGCGGGGGAGCACUACAACCGGAGGAGCCUGCGGUUUAAUUGGAUUCAACGCCGGA